rnacentral:rRNA from 1 species
GAAUGCUGACAUAAGUAACGAUAAAGCGGGUGAAAAGCCCGCUCGCCGGAAGACCAAGGGUUCCUGUCCAACGUUAAUCGGGGCAGGGUGAGUCGACCCCUAAGGCGAGGCCGAAAGGCGUAGUCGAUGGGAAACAGGUUAAUAUUCCUGUACUUGGUGUUACUGCGAAGGGGGGACGGAGAAGGCUAUGUUGGCCGGGCGACGGUUGUCCCGGUUUAAGCGUGUAGGCUGGUUUUCCAGGCAAAUCCGGAAAAUCAAGGCUGAGGCGUGAUGACGAGGCACUACGGUGCUGAAGCGACAAAUGCCCUGCUUCCAGGAAAAGCCUCUAAGCAUCAGGUAACAUCAAAUCGUACCCCAAACCGACACAGGUGGUCAGGUAGAGAAUACCAAGGCGCUUGAGAGAACUCGGGUGAAGGAACUAGGCAAAAUGGUGCCGUAACUUCGGGAGAAGGCACGCUGAUA